GUCUCCAUCAGCCAAGAAGAUUUCCUAGGGCUAGACUCACCAAGGUUUGUGUUACAAAAAUGAAAGUUUGAAGGUUGCGAGAAGGCCUUUUCAAGGCUUGAAAAUCUCAAGAUCCACUUGCGGAGCCACACAGGCGAGAAGCCGUAUUUGUGCCAGCAUCCGGGUUGUCAGAAGGCCUUCAGUAACUCCAGUGACCGCGCCAAACACCAGCGGACGCAUCUGGACACGAAACCUUAUGCUUGUCAAAUUCCAGGAUGUACCAAACGCUACACAGACCCAAGUUCCCUAAGAAAGCAUGUGAAGGCACAUUCUUCCAAAGAGCAACAAGCAAGGAAAAAGUUGCGGUCCAGCACAGAGCUCCAUCCAGACCUGCUCACAGAUUGCCUCACCGUGCAGCCCCUGCAGCCGGCCACUUCCCCUAGAGAUGCUGCUGCUGAAGGGACCGUGGGACGCUCCCCUGGACCCGGGCCUGACCUCUAUUCAGCUCCCAUUUUCUCCAGCAAUUAUUCAAGCCGAAGUGGAACAGCUGCUGGGGCCGUACCACCCCCACAUCCUGUCAGUCACCCUUCUCCAGGACAUAAUGUACAGGGGAGCCCCCACAACCCCUCCUCCCAGUUACCUCCACUCACAGCUGUGGACGCAGGAGCUGAGAGGUUUGCACCUUCUGCUCCAUCUCCUCACCACAUCAGCCCCCGGAGAGUUCCAGCUCCUUCUUCAAUACUGCAAAGAACACAGCCUCCCUAUACCCAGCAGCCAUCAGGUUCACACCUGAAGUCCUAUCAGCCAGAAACAAACUCUUCUUUUCAACCAAAUGGUAUCCAUGUCCAUGGAUUUUAUGGGCAGCUGCAGAAGUUCUGUCCCCCACAUUACCCCGAUUCCCAGAGAAUUGUGCCGCCUGUCAGCUCCUGCAGUGUGGUGCCUUCGUUUGAGGACUGCCUGGUCCCUACAUCCAUGGGCCAGGCCGGUUUUGAUGUUUUCCACAGAGCCUUCUCGACUCACUCGGGCAUUACAGUGUAUGAUUUACCUUCAAGUUCCUCGAGCCUCUUUGGGGAGUCUCUUCGCAGCGGGGCUGAAGAUGCUGCCUUCUUGCAGAUCAGCACUGUGGACCGCUGUCCCAGCCAGCUCUCCUCUGUCUACACCGAAGGCUAAAAUCUCUCUUGGCCACUCCUGCACACCCAGGACCUUGAUGUUGCUUGCCACCUUUUGUUUUCGUACUCUCACAGACUGCUUGAGGAAGGAUGUCAGCCCAAUUAGCGGGACCUGCAGAGUUACUGAUGUUCUUUCAGAAGGCAGGACUGAAUGGCAGAGCUAGCGUUGCAGGAAUCAUUACAGUUGCUCCUUUUUCUCUCUGGUUUUCCUGGACUAUGUGACCAGGAGGACUGUCUUUUCAAAGGGAAUUUAGAGCCUCACUCUACUGGAUACCUGUUACUUCCUGGCUGUCAACCCUUAAAGGACCCCAAUGAAAUGAUGUGCAUGUGAAAAUGUAGUUUGGGGAUGACUCUACCUGAAAACUCCAAACAGGGAAAAAGACCUCAAUUACGAGAGGCAUAGUGACCUGCCUCACCUAAUCCUCACCCUUGCUGCUCCUGAUGCAAAGCCAGGCACAACAAGGGAAAUCCAUGUCCAAAGCAUAGUGUGGUCUCAACUCUUAGAAACUCCCUGGGUUUCCCUUUUCUCUUAGCCACAUGCUAACCAGUUGCUUCUCAGUGUUUCUUCAAUAGAAAAAUAAGGUUUUAUAUGCCAGCAGCCUAUCCUUGUUUUUGCAUUUUUAAGACUUAGUUAUUUAUACGUACUUUAAAAUGAAAAAAAAAAUGUAAAGGUCUGUUCUUUGGAUGGAAAUCAUUAUUAUUGUAAUCACCCCAGCUAUAGACAUUUUGCACAGCUGUGGUUCUGCCUGGCCCCACCUCUGGCAUGUUAGUUUUGCAGUUAGCAAAGGUUACCUGAGGGAAAUGGAGUGGGCACCUCCCGCACCAACAGUCCUGUAGCUGGAACCUUCCUGGGUUGACUGUUUAGUAACUCCACCUCAAAGACUUUGUUCAAAGAAAAAUGUUGUUUGACUGGUUUACCCAUUGCCUCCACUCUGGUGCUGCACCCAGAGAAGUGCCAGAUGUGAGAACUGGGACAGACUGAGUCAUGUGCCAGCUUCCCUUGGAAAACCAAACCUAUUGAUACUUGACUUCCAGUCCUCAGAUUUUACUAACGUUUUUCAGGAUAUCCACUCAUCUGUCUGUCUCUUCCCUACACUUCUCUCCACCCUCUUUUUGCAUCCCUCUUACCCUCUUCCUGACUGUGGUCCAGAUAUCCCCACCAGCCGCCAUUGUCUGAUCAUCUUGGGAAGGUAGAGGUGACAGUUCUCGAAAAGUCUACAGAAAGAGGCAAUUCUUUUUCUGAGUUCCAGUUUGAAGGCCUGGAAUUUUCACAUAGCACUUGGUCGAAAAUAUCAAGCCUAAAUAGGAAGUCAUUUUCUGUGACACCUCUACAUAGCUAUAGAUCCUAAGUCCUAGGGCAUCAGCUAUAAAAAUUGGCCAGUCCCAAAGACACAGUAAGUUCUAACAUUCUGGUACUAUCAUAUUUCAAGUAUUUUUUCUCACUUUUUAAAAAUGUUUUUCUGAACAAAAGUGAAACAAUGCCAUUUGUCAAACUGAGAUCAUUACAAUCUUCAACAAGACAACUAAAACAGCUUGAUGUUAGAUGGGAUUCUGUGACAGUUUGUAUACUGACAGGUCCUUCCAGUCUCCCUCCACAGUCCCACAAUCAGAAAUAUUCUACCUGAUUCCAGAGUUCAUUGCAACAUGCAGUAGAAUGAGGUGAAUGAAGAACCAAGUGUGGGUUUUGUUUUCACAGUGCACUUGGUCAAUCUAGUUUCUCUGAGUAGUGCGCUGUAUUCUAAGAAAAGCUUUCAUGUAGACGUCAAAGUCUGCAAAAGAGAUGAGUUAGCCACUUUACAAAAACCUGCUCUGCUUUACAAAAGAUGCACACCAGGCUUCCUUUAGAAGUGAACUCCAAGGCUGCUUGUAAAGUACCACCCUUCUUGCAGACUUUGUGGGUCGUGUCACUUGGCCUAAACAAGUGGCCUAACGUAUGCAUGCUCACAGCUAGUAGCAUCCCUCAUGCGUCCUUUGUCAUACUCUGGAAAGAAAAAAACUCUGCUAUCUUCAGAGAAACCAUCUAUUCAUACUUAAAUAUGGAAGCCUUUACAAGGAACUCAAAAUACUUUUCAUUUCAUUUGUACAAUGAGAAGAAAGAUGAAAAGGCAAGGUUGUUAUUGCAGUUGACAUUGUCAGUCCUGCCUUUUGGCUUUAUGUAAUUUAAAAUAGCAAGGGGGAAGGAGGACAAAACAGAAGCUCAACUUUAGAAACCAUGGACAUCACCUCCCUCUUUGAGAGGAGCUGCUUGUGAACCAGGCUCCAGUCUUCCUGUGGCCUCUCACAGUAACCCUGCCCCUUUCUUACCUCACAGGGGCAAGAGGGACUCUAAAGAGGGCGUAAGCAAUAGAGGCACCUGCAGCCCUCCUUCCUCAGCAGGAAAUCAAUGUGGAGCCCCAGAGGGACAUUUUAUCUCAGAGAGAGCAUGCUGGCCGCAGGACCCAGUGCAGCCCUGCUUCCCGCACCGUGGGUCUUUCCUGAUAGCUGCAGGCUUGAGAUUGCGGCCUCAGGAUAGGACACGUUCAGAUGCCUUCCAGACUACACACACUAUGCUUAGAUUCCAGAGUCUUUCCUGACCUUAAAGUUUGUCCCUUGCUUACUUUCACACUGCAGAAGAUUUAUAUAUAUAUUCAUCAUUAUUUUUGCAGCAGUACAAGUGGAAACUUCAAAAAAAUCAUUCCCUUUCAUGUCCUGGUCUUUUUAAGUCUUGAUAUGUAACCAUUUUCAUAAAUAUCCAAACAGAGAUUGUCAUUCCCCUUAAAAACAGAAACAAAACACAAAACUAGUGCUUGUGAAAACACACAGCACAAAGACAAUUAUCCUAUUGCAUUAAAAAAAAAAAAAUCAGUCUGCCUAGAGACAUUUCAUUGGCUGCAUUGUCUUAAUUCCCUAACGAAACUGCAUCAAAAUGUCAGUUGUAAUUUAGCCUCUGAUCAGCUGUUAAAUAUUAUUUAAAUAUUUACAGGUCCUGUGGGGUAUCUCCCAUUACCCAUGUCGCCCUCAAAUUACAUAAGCGAUCAU
rnacentral:sRNA from 1 species